rnacentral:rRNA from 1 species
AGAGUUUGAUCCUGGCUCAGGACGAACGCUGGCGGCGUGCCUAACACAUGCAAGUCAACUUGACGGAAGGAGCAAUCUGACCGUAGAGUGGCGCAAGGGUGCGUAACGCGUAAGUAACUUGCCCCAAGGUAAGGAAUAACGUCGAGAAAUCGGCGCUAAUACCUCAUAAUGCAGCGGAUCCGCAUGGAUAUGUUGUUAAAGGUUUACCGCCUUGGGAUAGGCUUGCGUCUGAUUAGCUAGUUGGUGUGGUAACGGCACACCAAGGCUACGAUCAGUAACUGGUCUGAGAGGAUGAUCAGUCACACUGGAACUGAGACACGGUCCAGACUCCUACGGGAGGCAGCAGUGAGGAAUAUUGGGCAAUGCUCGAAAGAGUGACCCAGCAACGCCGCGUGGAGGAUGAAGGUAUUCUAUAUCGUAAACUCCUGUGAGAGCAGACGAAAGACAGAUUAUUAAUCUGGAUGACUGUAUGCUCAGAGGAAGCCCCGGCUAACUACGUGCCAGCAGCCGCGGUAAUACGUAGGGGGCAAGCGUUGUCCGGAUUCACUGGGUGUAAAGGGCGCGUAGGCGGGAUAGCAAGUCAGUGGUGAAAUCUUGCAGCUCAACUGCAAAACUGCCAUUGAUACUGCUGUUCUUGAAUGUGGAAGAGAGAGGCGGAAUUCCAGGUGUAGUAGUGAAAUACGUAGAUAUCUGGAAGAACACCAAUUGCGAAGGCUGCUUCUUGGUCCAUUAUUGACGCUGAGGCGCGAAAGCGUGGGGAGCAAACAGGAUUAGAUACCCUGGUAGUCCACGCUGUAAACGAUGAGUGCUAGAUGCCGGAUUUUUUCGGUGCCGCAGCUAACGCAUUAAGCACUCCACCUGGGAAGUACGAUCGCAAGGUUGAAACUCAAAGGAAUUGACGGGGGCCCGCACAAGCAGUGGAGCAUGUGGUUUAAUUCGACGCAACGCGAAGAACCUUACCUGGGUUUGACAUCCCGAUCGUACCUUAUGGAAACAUAGGGUCAGUUCGCUGGAUCGGUGACAGUGCUGCAUGCUGUCGUCAGCUCGUGUCGUGAGAUGUGGUAGUCCCGCACGAGCGCACCCUUGUCUAGCUGCCACCAUCAGUGGCACCUCUAGAGACUGCGGUGUAACGAAGAAGGUGGAUGACGU